UGACUCAAAGCGGCAUCUGCAUCCACCAUGUGGACCCAGAGGGACUUUUAUUUUGUUAGCAUCCGCUACACAGUUAGACGGACAGGAGCCUGUGGUUCCGGCCUUCGCCACUGGGGGGAGUCUUCCUCUGCUGAGCACCUGUGCCGGAACGCAGCGCCCGUUACACGGUAGCGCUGCUGAGGAACCGUGUGUCUAACAUGUCGUGUCUGUUAAUAUUAACAGAUCCACACCUGUUCUCAUUCAGAGGCUCUUUGGAUCGUCUGCGGGUUUCGCUCUACCAACUCAAGAUCCUCUGAGUAAAGCUGCCACCACCAAGAGUCACGUGCUAUGUUAGAAUUUUUAGUCUUCGGUCGGUUCUGAGCUCGAUGGAUUGGAACGUAUCACUCUGUCCAAAGACUACCCAUCAGACCCUGCUCUGUGGAUGCUUCCUGGUUCAUCACGUCACCUGCUUGGGUCCUCCGUGUACCUUCACCUACAUAUAACAUCUCCUAUCAUCACUGAGGCAUCUCCAGCAGCAACUGCCGGAUGCAACAUCUAUCUAAUGGAUAAAUUUAAAUGUGGAUAUAAUUAUUUUAAUAAAUAAAUACUUGAACUCAGUCUGUGGUUUUGGCCUUUUCUUGGGUCCUGCACAUCACAAAUGUAACACUGGUCCUUUCUGAACAAAAGCCAACCUAACAAAUUAUAAAUCUAAAGAAAGAGCAGACAAAUAAGUCUGAAUGUGUUAACAUUUGCAGGUCAGUUUGUA
rnacentral:lncRNA from 1 species